rnacentral:misc_RNA from 1 species
GUAACAAGGUUUCCGUAGGUGAACCUGCGGAAGGAUCAUUACUGAUUUGCUUAAUUGCACCACAUGUGUUUUGUUCUGGACAAACUUGCUUUGGCGGUGGGCCCCUGCCUGCCGCCAGAGGACAUAAACUUACAACCAAAUUUUUUAUAAACUUGUCACGAGAUUAUUUUUAAUAGUCAAAACUUUCAACAACGGAUCUCUUGGUUCUCGCAUCGAUGAAGAACGCAGCGAAAUGCGAUACGUAAUAUGAAUUGCAGAUAUUCGUGAAUCAUCGAAUCUUUGAACGCACAUUGCGCCCUCUGGUAUUCCGGAGGGCAUGCCUGUUUGAGCGUCGUUUCUCCCUCAAACCCCUAGGGUUUGGUGUUGAGCAAUACGACUUGGGUUUGCUUGAAAGAUGAUAGUGGUAUAAGGCGGAGAUGCUUGACAAUGGCUUAGGUGUAACCAAAAACAUUGCUAAGGCGGUCUCUGGCGUCGCCCAUUUUAUUCUUCAAACUUUGACCUCAAAUCAGGUAGGACUACCCGCUGAACCUAAGCAUAUCA